GUGGGGAAUCUUAGACAAUGGGGGAAACCCUGAUCUAGCCAUGCCGCGUGAUCGAUGAAGGCCUUAGGGUUGUAAAGAUCUUUCAGCUGGGAAGAUAAUGACGGUACCAGCAGAAGAAGCCCCGGCUAACUCCGUGCCAGCAGCCGCGGUAAUACGGAGGGGGCUAGCGUUAUUCGGAUUUACUGGGCGUAAAGCGCACGUAGGCGGAUCGGAAAGUUAGGGGUGAAAUCCCGGGGCUCAACCUCGGAACUGCCUCUAAAACUCCUGGUCUUGAGGUCGAGAGAGGUGAGUGGAAUUCCGAGUGUAGAGGUGAAAUUCGUAGAUAUUCGGAGGAACACCAGUGGCGAAGGCGGCUCACUGGCUCGAUACUGACGCUGAGGUGCGAAAGCGUGGGGAGCAAACAGGAUUAGAAACCCGUGUAGUCC
rnacentral:rRNA from 1 species